rnacentral:rRNA from 1 species
CCUGAGAAACCCAAAAGAUCGAUCGGGGAGAUUCAUCGUCAGCGACCUUGGUAAGUGUGCGGUUCGCGAUGCCACGGAGCUUCGGUUCCGGGCACGCGUCCGCGCCCUGCCAUGCGUCGUCGGCGUGCACUUCUCCCCUAGUAGGACGUCGCGACCCGUUGGGUGUCGGUCUACGGCACGGGUGGUAGCCUGUCGUGUGUCGGUUUCGCGCCGACAUGCGGCAGACCCUCGGUUGUCCGACCGGCUACCCGGCGGUACUCGCACGGUAUCGGGCCGCAAAUAUUCGAACUGCGUCCGGCCCGCCGCAAGCGAGGUCAGUGUUACCCGGAUGUACGGACCUAGCGCCGUCACCGGGCCUGGCCAGCUGUUGGUUCGGCGGUGUCCUGGGACUGGCUCACAAAAUUAUGAUACCGGUCGGCGACGCUACUGCUUUGGGUACUUUCAGGA